rnacentral:rRNA from 1 species
CCAGCGAUUAAUUGGGUGUUAAUAUACGACCCAAUUAGCAGCUUCCGGGAAACCAAAGUUUUUCGUUUCCGGGGGAAGUAUGGUUGCAAAGCUGAAACUUAAAGGAAUUGACGGAAGGGCACCACCAGGAGUGGAGCCUGCGGCUUAAUUUGACUCAACACGGGAAAACUCACCCGGCCCGGACACCGUAAGGAUUGACAGAUUGAGAGCUCUUUCUUAAUUCGGUGGGUGGUGGUGCAUGGCCGUUCUUAGUUGGUGGAGCGAUUUGUCUGGUUAAUUCCGAUAACGAACGAGACUCUGGCCUAUUAAAUAGACGAGAUAUUAAAAAGUAUAUCGCACUUCUUAGAGGGACAAGCGGCGUCUAGUCGCGUGAAAAAGAGCAAUAACAGGUCUGUGAUGCCCUUAGAUGUCCGGGGCUGCACGCGCGCUACACUGAAAGAAUCAGUGUGCGUUUUACCUAGUUCGGAAGAACCGGGUAACCCAAGUAAAUUCCUUCGUGCUUGGGAUAGGGAAUUGCAAUUAUUUCCCUUAAACGAGGAAUUCCCAGUAAAUGCGGGUCAUAAGCUCGCGUUGAUUACGUCCCUGCCCUUUGUACACACCGCCCGUCGCUACUACCGAUUGGAUGACUUAGUGAGGUCUUAGGACCGAGGUAGAGGUGCUUUCGCGAGUGCCUUUGCUUUGGAAAUUUGCUCGAACUACGUUAUCUAGA